rnacentral:rRNA from 1 species
CUGGGGAAACCCAGGCUAAUCCGCCAUGUGGUCCUGUCCUGUGGGGCAGGACUAAAGGGUGGAUAGCCCGCUUCCGGAUGGGCCCGCGUCCCAUCAGCUAGUUGGUGGGGUAAAGGCCCACCAAGGCGACGACGGGUAGCCGGCCUGAUAGGAUGGCCGGCCACAGGGGCACUGAGACACGGGCCCCACUCCUACAGGAGGCAGCAAUUAGGAAUCUUCCGAAAUGGACGGAAGUCUGACGGAGCGACGCCGCUUGGAGGAGGAAGCCCUUCAGGGUGUAAACUCCUGAACUGGGGACGAAAGCCCCGUGUAGGGGGAUGACGGUACCCAUGUAAUAUCGCCGGCCAACUCCAUGCCAGCACCCGCGGUAAUACGGAGGGCGCGAGCGUUACCCGGAUUUACUGGGCGUAAAGGGCAUGUACGCGGCUUG